UACGGAGGGUGCAAGCAUUAAUCGGAAUUAUUGGGCGUAAAGGGCGCGUAGGCGGAUUUGUAAGUCAGAUGUGAAAUUCCGAGGCUCAACUUCGGAGCUGCAUCUGAAACUACAAACCUGGAGGGAUGGCGGAGAAAAUGGAAUUCCACGUGUAGCGGUGAAAUGCGUAGAUAUCAGGAGGAACACCGAUGGCGAAGGCAGGUCUCUGGGCCACUACUGACGCUGAGAAGCGAAAGCAUGGGGAGCGAACAGG
rnacentral:rRNA from 1 species